AAGUCUAGCUUGCUAGACGGAUUAGUGGCGAACGGGUGAGUAAUGCUUAGGAAUCUGCCUAUUAGUGGGGGAUAACGUAGGGAAACUUACGCUAAUACCGCAUACGACCUACGGGUGAAAGGGGGCUUUUAGCUCUCGCUAAUAGAUGAGCCUAAGUCGGAUUAGCUGGUUGGUGGGGUAAAGGCCUACCAAGGCGACGAUCUGUAGCUGGUCUGAGAGGAUGAUCAGCCACACUGGGACUGAGACACGGCCCAGACUCCUACGGGAGGCAGCAGUGGGGAAUAUUGGACAAUGGGCGAAAGCCUGAUCCAGCCAUGCCGCGUGUGUGAAGAAGGCCUUUUGGUUGUAAAGCACUUUAAGUGGGGAGGAAAAGCUUAUGGUUAAUACCCAUAAGCCCUGACGUUACCCACAGAAUAAGCAC
rnacentral:rRNA from 1 species